rnacentral:rRNA from 1 species
AGACGGGGCCCGCACAAGCGGUGGAGCAUGUGGUUUAAUUCGAUGCAACGCGAAGAACCUUACCUGGGCUUGACAUCCCGAGAAUCCCCUGGAAACAGGGGAGUGCCUUUCGGGGAACUCGGAGACAGGUGCUGCAUGGCUGUCGUCAGCUCGUGUCGUGAGAUGUUGGGUUAAGUCCCGCAACGAGCGCAACCCUUGUCUUUAAUUGCCAGCAUUCAGCUGGGCACUUUAAAGAGACUGCCGGUGUUAAGCCGGAGGAAGGUGGGAUGACGUCAAGUCCUCAUGGCCUUUAUGCCCAGGGCUACACACGUGCUACAAUGGGUGGUACAAAGAGAUGCCAACUCGCGAGAGCGCGCCAAUCUCAGAAAGCCAUCCUCAGUUCGGAUUGGAGUCUGCAACUCGACUCCAUGAAGUUGGAAUCGCUAGUAAUCGCGGAUCAGCACGCCGCGGUGAAUACGUUCCCGGGCCUU